rnacentral:lncRNA from 1 species
UUGCUAGGUUGGUGAAAAUCUGAAAAUUGACCCAAUUUUGUAUAAUAUAUUAGUUUAAGAACAAUAAACAUACAAGCCCACACACACACACACACACAUAUGCACUCCAAAAGUAAACGAGUUGGAAAUGUUUCGUAAUAUUUUCCUCUGAAUCUUCUUUAGCAUGCAUAAGAUUUACCAUUUCCUUUUAAAUAACUUUUAAAAUCAGCUCUAGUCCAUGUUUGCUUAACAAUGUUGUAUCAUUAUAUAAUUUCACAAAGUUUGUGCAUAAUUCUUGCUGAACUUGGUUUGCUUUUCUUUAAUUUAGGUAUGGAGUGAGCAAAUCACGGUUCGACCAAGUCUUCAACGAUGAAUUGAGUCAGAUCAUUAAGGUCUCUCUACGUUUGUUAUAUUUGUUUGGUUUUUUAUUUCUAUAGUUAUAGAUAUUGUUAGUAUGCAUUUGGUUUGGCUUGAUUGGGGUAUAGGAUGAAUUUAAAUAGUACUGAUUUUUAUUAUUUUUUCCCCCUCCAGCUACCAGUUUGUUGUUUGGCACUGUAAAUGUACAAUCGGAAAAAAA